rnacentral:rRNA from 1 species
AACGAACGCUGGCGGCAUGCCUAACACAUGCAAGUCGAACGAGACCUUCGGGUCUAGUGGCGCACGGGUGCGUAACGCGUGGGAACCUGCCCUUAGGUUCGGAAUAACUCCCCGAAAGGGGUGCUAAUACCGGAUAAUGUCUUCGGACCAAAGAUUUAUCGCCUUUGGAUGGGCCCGCGUUGGAUUAGCUAGUUGGUAGGGUAAAAGCCUACCAAGGCGACGAUCCAUAGCUGGUCGGGGAGGAUGACCAGCCACACUGGGACUGAGAGACGGCCCAGACUCCUACGGGAGGCAGCAGUGGGGAAUAUUGGACAAUGGGGGAAAGCCUGAUCCAGCAAUGCCGCGUGAGUGAUGAAGGCCUUAGGGUUGUAAAGCUCUUUUACCCGGGAUGAUAAUGACAGUACCGGGAGAAUAAGCACCGGCUAACUCCGUG